UUUUCAUAUGUGCAGCCAGGUGCCCUUGUAAAAGCAAGGGGUAACAGGGAAUCGGGUGAAAAUCCCGAGCGGUCCCGCCACUGUAACCGAGGAGUUCUCUCUCAUUGACAUGUCACUCGAUUAGAUAAUUGGGGAAGACGAGAGAGUACCAUGAGCCGGAAGCCAGGAGACCUACCUAGCUUGCUUACACCAG
rnacentral:ncRNA from 1 species